CGAGAUACCUGGUUGAUCCUGCCAGUAGUCAUAUGCUUGUCUCAAAGAUUAAGCCAUGCAUGUCUAAGUACAAGCCUCACUAAGGUGAAACCGCGAAUGGCUCAUUAAAUCACACCUAAUGUACUGGAUGGUUUCAGUUACUUGGAUAACUGCGGUAAUUCUGGAGCUAAUACAUGCGACCAAGCCCCGACUCACGGAGGGGCGCAUUGAUUAGAUCAAAACCAAACGGCAGCGGCUUUGCGGCCGGUUUGCCGUGCUUUUGGUGAUUCUGGAUAACUUUGGGCUGAUCGCAUGGCUUCAUGCCGGCGACGCAUCCUUCCAAGGUGUGCCCUAUCAACUGUCGACUGUGCUAUAGCUGACCACAGUGGUUGUGACGGGUAACGGGGAAUUAGGGUUCGAUUCCGGAGAGGGAGCCUGAGACACGGCUACCACUUCUAAGGAAGGCAGCAGGCACGCAAAUUACCCAAUGAUCGAUGAUCGAGGUAGUGACGAAAAAUAACGAUACCGGUCUCAUCCGAGGCCCGGUAAUCGGAAUGAGUACACUUUAAAUCCUUUAACGAGGAACAAUUGGAGGGCAAGUCUGGUGCCAGCAGCCGCGGUAAUUCCAGCUCCAAUAGCGUAUAUUAAAGUUGUUGCGGUUAAAAAGCUCGUAGUUGGAUCUCGGCGGGUAGGGGGCGGUUCAAUAUUUGUUGCUACUGCCCCAUUACCCGUGACUCUGGCGGCCGCUUGAGGGUCUCCUUCAUUGGGUGUCCUCAGGCACCGCCACCUUUACUUUGAAAAAAUUAGAGUGCUCAAAGCAAGCUGUCACGCUUGAAUAUUCGUGCAUGGAAUAAUGGAAUAGGAUGUCGUUUCUAUUUUGUUGGUUUUCGGAAAUCGACAUAAUGAUUAACAGGGACAGCCGGGGGCAUUGGUAUUCAGACGCUAGAGGUGAAAUUCUUGGACCGUCUGAAGACUAACGACUGCGAAAGCAUUUGCCAAGAGUGUUUUCAUUAAUCAAGAACGAAAGUUAGAGGUUCGAAGGCGAUCAGAUACCGCCCUAGUUCUAACCAUAAACGAUGCCAGCUAGCGAUCAGCGGCUGUUUUUUUUGUAGGCUCCGCUGGAAGCUUCAGGGAAACCAAAGCGUGUGGGUUCCGGGGGAAGUAUGGUUGCAAAGCUGAAACUUAAAGGAAUUGACGGAAGGGCACCACCAGGAGUGGAGCCUGCGGCUUAAUUUGACUCAACACGGGAAAUCUCACCAGGCCCGGACACUGGAAGGAUUGACAGAUUGAGAGCUCUUUCUCGAUUCAGUGGGUGGUGGUGCAUGGCCGUUCUUAGUUGGUGGAGUGAUUUGUCUGGUUAAUUCCGAUAACGAACGAGACUCUAUCCUGCUAAAUAGGCGGACCGUCCUUGCAAGGAUGGGCCUCGUCUUCUUAGAGGGACUAGCGCGCUCUUAGCCGCACGAGAUUGAGCAAUAACAGGUCUGUGAUGCCCUUAGAUGUUCUGGGCUGCACACGCGCUACACUGAAGGCAUCAGCGUGUGUUCUUCCUGGUCCGAAAGGAUCGGGUAACCCGCUGAACCCCCUUCGUGGUAGGGAUCGGAGCUUGCAAUUAUUCUCCGUGAACCAGGAAUUCCCAGUAAGCGCAAGUCAUAAGCUUGCGUUGAUUACGUCCCUGCCCUUUGUACACACCGCCCGUCGCUACUACCGAUUGAAUGUUUUAGUGAGAUGCUCGGACUGAGAGCCGACUGGCUUGCGCCACGCGGCCUUCGGGAAGUUUAUCAAACUUGAACAUUUAGAGGAAGUAAAAGUCGUAACAAGGUUUCCGUAGGUGAACCUGCGGAAGGAUCAUUAACGAA
rnacentral:rRNA from 1 species